rnacentral:rRNA from 1 species
CUCGUAGGCGGCCAACUAAGUCAGACGUGAAAUCCCUCGGCUUAACCGGGGAACUGCGUCUGAUACUGGAUGGCUUGAGUUUGGGAGAGGGAUGCGGAAUUCCAGGUGUAGCGGUGAAAUGCGUAGAUAUCUGGAGGAACACCGGUGGCGAAGGCGGCAUCCUGGACCAACACUGACGCUGAGGAGCGAAAGCCAGGGGAGCAAACG